UACGAACCGUGCGAACGUUGUUCGGAUUCACUGGGCUUAAAGGGCGCGUAGGCGGACGGUCAAGUCAGGGGUGAAAUCUUUCAGCUCAACUGGAAAAGUGCCUUUGAUACUGAUCGUCUCGAGGGAGGUAGGGGCAUGUGGAACUUCCGGUGGAGCGGUGAAAUGCGUAGAUAUCGGAAGGAACGCCGGUGGCGAAAGCGACGUGCUGGACCUCUUCUGACGCUGAGGCGCGAAAGCUAGGGGAGCAAACGGG
rnacentral:rRNA from 1 species